AUUAAUUAGAUAGCACAGCCUUUAUUUGGUAUUUCUGAAAAAGAAUCAUCUCCCUUACUUCUCACAGGGUGACAAUGGACACUUCCUGUGCUCAGGAAGCACAUCAGCUGGGAGACUGGGAGUGGCCAUAGCCCUGAAUUUCAGCAUGGAAUCAGCAUGAAACCAAAUGUACAUUACGGCUGCGGUGAUGAGAGCGAAGCUUUUACCAUUUGUUUUGGACUCCCGCGCUGAUAUGAAUGGGAGCAGGCAGCUGUGGAUGGCCAAAGCAGGGCCACUGGAAGUAAAGCUGGCAUUGACAAGGGCAGACAGGUGCAGAAGGAAACCUGGUUUUGGAUGACAUUGGUCCCUGGACUGUAGAGAGCUCAAGCCCUGGCUGCAAAUCGUUUGCCUUGAAGAGACAUAAAUGAGAACCACAACUGCCAGAAAAUAAGGAGUGGCAGGAAGUUGUUGGAGAGGAUGCUUGGAUGGUCAUUCCUCCUCUCAGCCAGUAGUGAGCCUUUUGACGCUGCUGACUGCGACUGCUGAUAAGCUGCAUAAGGCAGGAGGUCAACAAUCCGGAGACUGCUCUUAAUUAUUAAAGGAUCAACACGUCUUAAUGCACGCAUCCACCGGGGAGGCCAGAGAACUGGGGCUCGGGGAGAGAAGUCUUCUCCUUCUCUUUAAAUUGGCAAAAACAAACACACGAAGCAAUUGUCGGGGGUGGGGGGGGGGAGAUAAAGGGUUGCCCCUCUCUCCUAACUCUAAAUUUGGAACCGAGAAUAUUGGCACCUCUUCCUCUCCAGACUCAAGCUGCCGUGUCAUCGAGGAGUGGGUUUGCAGACGUGAUCUCCACUUAACGAACUGAACCUUGACUCGGCCCCACGGCAAGGAGCGCUGGGACCCAACAGCCCAGGGCCCCAGGGGAGCUUUGCGCGACUACUCUGCGUUAGUGCCUUCUCUUGUCCUAAAUUAAGCUCCUUGACAUAGAAUUAUCCAUCCCACACAUUGAACCUAUCUCCAAGGUAAAUGUUUCUGCUCGGCGAACACUGGUUCACAGGAUAAAAACAAUCCUCCUCUGUCUCCUCCCUGUCACCACUGCCAGCCCCAUGGAUGAGUCCUUGCUGGGUGCCUUGGGCUCAGGGCUGGGCUGCCUGCUGCGGCGAUCACACGAAGCUACAGGUGAGCCCGAGGAAGUGGUGGUUGUGCCUUUUCUCCCUCCUUUUUUCUUUCUUUCCACAAUUGGAGGGAAAGGCGUCGGGACCGGUCAAGAGCGAUGCAGUACGAAAAGAAUCAGGACACCAUUCCGUUGCAAUACUUGACAACGUUGCAGAGGAAAAGGGCUUCAUAAAAGCAGCGGCCGGGUGGGUUAUCUCCAAACGCGUGUGGCUCCCGAGAUGAGGACACCAUCCCGAAAAUUUGACCGCAAUGCCUAUAAGCUGAAGUACCUGUUCCAGAUCUGUGCCAGAUGAGGUUUCGGGGGGGGGGGGGGGUUCUGCAUGAGUACCAGCGAGUUCAUGGCAGCUCCCAGGCUUAAUUAUCAUGGUGUUGCUCUCAGUAGCAGAGCAAGCGAGGAACAGAGACAAUUCACUCGGGAAGAACAUGGCAAUGUUAAGCAAAUGACCAAGAAACAGGGAGAAAUGGGCUCAAACGAAUUCAUAAGCUUGAAAUUCAAAUGACAGCCCUCUAUGUUUAUCUAUCAGGUUUGCAAAGAGAAAAGAAACAACAAUACCCUGUGUUGGCAAAGGGUACCGGGGAGUUACUAGAAUCAGACAGACUGGUUUAUGCUUCUAGGCUCUUCCUCUUACUAGCACAGGGAACUUGGGUAUGUCAUUUAUGUUCUCUAAGACUAUUCUCCUCAUCUGUAAGAUGCAGAUAAUAUUAGUAACCACCUCCAAGGGGGUUUAGGAGAUUUAUGUAAAAUCAUGCUUAUAAAGUGCUUAGUGCGUCAUCUGACACAUAGUAAGUGCCCAGUUAAUAUUCAAAUUAUAAUCAUUAUUGGAAGCUAGAAACCCAACACACUGAUAGGGGAGUAUAAACUGGUAAAACCCUAUGUAAUAAAAACUUGACAUGUAUGUUAAAGCCUUAAUGGUGUGUAUACACCUGAUUUAAGCACUUGACUUCUAGAAAUCUAUUUUGAGGAGACAGGACACAAUCAUAUGUUUACGAGGAUAUCCUUCAUGGUAUUUAUGACAAAAAUGGAAGCAAUUUAAAUACCCAACGGUAGUUAAAAAUGAGUAGUAGUUAGAAAGUAGUAAUUAAGAAGUAGUUAAAAAUUAAGUUUCAGUCGCUAUCUCCAAGAGAUGCAGAGCAUAUUUUUGAGAAAUACUUGAUGGUGGAGAGAAAUGAUACGUUGUGAAAAUAAUGGUUUUCAAUUAAUGGAUUCCCUAUUAUUUGUAUUUUUUAAUACUUGCUUGUCAUUUUAAAUUUGUCUGUAAUCAGUCAACAAAUACUUUUUGGGCAUCUGCUGCAUAUUGGGCACUACGGUGGGCACCAUGGAUUUGGUAGUGAAUAAAGCGGACAGGGUGCGCCCUCGUGGAACUUCUGGUCCACUGAAUAUGUGUCACUUUUAACAAAGAGGACUAAUAAUAAGACAAAAGGGGAAACUAUAUUUGUUUGUUAGGGUUGCCAUAGCUUAGGUGGCUUAGACACAGAAAUUAAUUAAAAAUUUUUUUUUAAUGUUUAUUUAUUUUUGAGAGAAAUAGAAUGAGCAUGAGUGGGGGAGGGGCAGAGAGGGAGACGGAGACACGGAAUCCGAAGUAGGCUCCAGACUCUGAGUUGUCAGCACAGAGCCCAACGUGGGGCUUGAACCCGUGAACCCUGAGAUCACGACCUGAGCUGAAGUCAGACGCUCAACUGACGAAGCCACCCAGGUGCCCCAGAAGUUACUUUUUUUGCAGUCCUGCAGUCUUAAAGUCUGAGAUCAAGGUGUUAGCAGAGUGGGUUUUAACCUGAGAUCUCUUUCCUGGGCUUGAAGGUGGCCAUCUUCUCCCUGUGUCUUCACCUGAUCUUUCCCUCUGUAAUUGGAUCCAAACUUCCUCUUCUUAUAAGGACACCGCCAGUCAGAUUGGAUUAGGAUCUGCUCUAGUGACCUCAUUUAACUUAAUUACCUCUUUAAAGAUCUUAUCUCCAAAGAUGGUCAUAUUCCGUGGUACUCGUGGUUAGCAUUUCAGCACAUGAACCUGGUUGGGGGAGACAAUUCAGCUCAUGAUAGAAACCAUUUGAUAAUAUUUCUUGUUUGACAAUUACUCUUUUGAGCUAUAUGAUAAAGACACCAUGUGUCUCUUCCUUUUCCUUCCAAUGGGGCAUUUUUUAAAAAGUUUUUCCCAGAUCUUUAAUUCUUUUUUUUUAAAUUUUAUUGUUUUAAAUUUACAUCCAAAUUAGUUAGCAUAUAGUGCAACAAUGAUUUCAGGAGUAGAUUCCUUAAUGCCCCUUACCCAUUUAGCCCAUCCCCCCUCCCACACCCCCUC